rnacentral:rRNA from 1 species
UACGAAGGGGGCUAGCGUUGCUCGGAAUCACUGGGCGUAAAGCGCACGUAGGCGGCUUCUUAAGUCGGGGGUGAAAUCCUGGAGCUCAACUCCAGAACUGCCUUCGAUACUGAGGAGCUUGAGUCCGGGAGAGGUGAGUGGAACUGCGAGUGUAGAGGUGAAAUUCGUAGAUAUUCGCAAGAACACCAGUGGCGAAGGCGGCUCGCGGGCCCGGUACUGACGCUGAGGUGCGAAAGCGUGGGGAGCAAACAGG